rnacentral:lncRNA from 1 species
UGAAACAGAGAAAUUUGAAAAACAGUUAAAAUAAAUGGGUCCACUACAAAGGCUGGAUUCAACCAUGCCUAGGAGUGAGUCCGAAAACUUAUUGUGCCGCGUAUCUCUUAGGCAUACGAGCACUGAGUUGUUUAAUCCUAAACGGGUUAAAGGUUUUAUGGCUAUUUGUAUUAAUCCAAUAUGUAAAUACUUAUACUUAUUCUCUUUAUGUUUUUCUAUUAUCUUUCUGGAUAACAGUUGGAAGUCUUCUC